CAAUAAACCAACUUAAAAACUCAAUGGAGAAUACUACCAGCAGAGUAGAACACUUAGAAGAUAGAACAUCAGACAAUGAAGACAAAGUAUUUCAACUGGAAAAGAACAUAGACAGCUCAGCAAGACUGUUAAGAAACCAUGAGCAGAACAUCCAAGAAAUAUGGGAUAACAUCAAGAGACCAAACUUAAGAGUCAUUGGGAUACAGGAAGGUACAGAGCUCCAAACCAAAGGAAUGAGCAGUCUAUUCAAUGAAAUAAUACGAGAAAACUUCCCAGACUUGAAGAAUGAGACAGAAUCCCAAAUCCUAGAAG
rnacentral:lncRNA from 1 species